CGUUGCGCGGCGCCACCGCGCCGAGCGCGGCGUCGCGCGCCGGCCGCUCGACGGGGAGCGCUUCGAGCGCCUUGCGAUCGAGCUUGCCGGUGAUGCCCUUCGGCAGCGCAUGCGCGAACGCGUAGUCGGCCGGCACCAUAUAGUCCGGCAGACGCUGCUCGAGCGCGCCGACGAGGGCAUCGCGCAGGCGCGCGCGCUCGUCCCGCGACGGCGCCGCCGCGGCGCUCUCGGCGGGCACGACGUACGCGACGAGCCGCGCGUCGCCGUCCGGCUCGCGCUUGAGGAUCACGGCCGCCUCGCCGACGAGCGGGUGCGCGUUCAGCGCGCUCGCGAUCUCGUCGAGCUCGACGCGAUAGCCGCGAAUCUUGAUCUGCUGAUCGGUGCGGCCGAGGAAUUCGAGCAUCCCGUCGCGCGUCCAGCGCGCGAGGUCGCCUGUCAUGUAGAUGCGCCCGCCCGGCGUGAACGGGUCCGGCAGGAACCGCUCGGCGGUCAGCUCGUCGCGAUUCAGGUAGCCGCGCGCGACGCCGUCGCCGGCGAUAUACAAGUCGCCCGGCAUCCCGAUCGGCAUCGGCCGCAUCCGUUCGUCGAGCACGUAGACGCGCAUGUUGCCGAGCGCGCGCCCGAUCGGCACCCUGCCGUUCGGGAUCGGCGCGGUGUGCGCGUAACCGGUGGCGAACACGGUCGUCUCGGUCGGGCCGUACAUGUUGUAGAUCGUGGCGGGACGCAAUGCAUGCCACGCAUCGUUCGCGAGCGCGCUCGUCAACUCCUCGCCGACGACGAACACGUGCCGCAGCCGGUGCCCGCGCGCGAAGCGCGCAUCGGCCGCCGCCUCCGUCACGAACUGGCGCAGCAGCGACGGCGUGAAAUUCAGGUGCGUGACGCCGUGCCGAAGCAAUGCCUCGACGAUCAGAUCGGGCGAGCCCUCGGCCUGCGGCGCGAGGAUCGCGAGCGAGCCGUCGCCGACGAACCAGCCGAACAGCUCCGGCACCGACACGUCGAACGCGUAGUUCGUCUUCAGCAGAUAGCGAUCGUGCGCGCCCACCGGGUAGCUCGCCUCCAUCACGUCGAGCAGGUUCGUCACGUUCGCGUGCGUGACGGCGACGCCCUUCGGCUUGCCGGUCGAGCCGGACGUAUAGAGCACGUAGGCCGCCGCGUGCGGAUCGACGGCGGGCGCCGCGCGCGGCGGCGCGGCGCGCGGCGGCGCGGGCGCGUCGAGGCACAGCGUGUCGAUGUCGAACGACGCGAGCCGCUCGCGGCGAAUCGGCUCGAUCGUCAGCAGCAGCGCCGCCGCGCUGUCGCUCAGCAUGAACGCCACGCGGUCGGCCGGCAGUUGCGGGUCGAUCGGCACAUAAGCGCAGCCGGCCUUGAGCGUCGCGAGGAUCGCG
rnacentral:rRNA from 1 species